GAUGAACGCUGGCGGCGUGCUUAACACAUGCAAGUCGAACGAUGAAGCCCAGCUUGCUGGGUGGAUUAGUGGCGAACGGGUGAGUAACACGUGAGUAACCUGCCCUUGACUCUGGGAUAAGCCUGGGAAACUGGGUCUAAUACUGGAUAUGACUUCUCAUCGCAUGGUGGGGGGUGGAAAGAUUUAUUGGUCUUGGAUGGACUCGCGGCCUAUCAGCUUGUUGGUGAGGUAAUGGCUCACCAAGGCGACGACGGGUAGCCGGCCUGAGAGGGUGACCGGCCACACUGGGACUGAGCCACGGCCCAGACUCCUACGGGAGGCAGCAGUGGGGAAUAUUGCACAAUGGGCGCAAGCCUGAUGCAGCGACGCCGCGUGAGGGAUGACGGCCUUCGGGUUGUAAACCUCUUUCAGUAGGGAAGAAGCGAGAGUGACGAUACCUGCAGAAGAAGCGCCGGCUAACUACGUG
rnacentral:rRNA from 1 species